rnacentral:rRNA from 1 species
UACAGGGGGGGCAAGCGUUGUUCGGAAUUACUGGGCGUAAAGGGCCCGUAGGCGGCCAACUAAGUCACACGUGAAAUCCCCAGGCUUAACCUGGGAACUGCGUGUGAUACUGGAUGGCUUGAAUUCGGGAGAGGGAUGCAGAAUUCCAGGUGUAGCGGUGAAAUGCGUAGAUAUCUGGAGGAAUACCGGUGGCGAAGGCGGCAUCCUGGACCGACAUUGACGCUAAACGGCGAAAGCUAGGGGAGCAAACGGG